AAUACUUGCUAAAAUGCUUGACAAAUUUUUUGAAAAGUUAUCUGGCUUAAAAUAUGGCUGGGUUUGCCCAUCCCUUUAAGAGACCAGCUGUUGAUGUAUCAUUAAAGGCCAAAAAAAAAAAAAAAAAAAAAAGUCAAUUCACCUGUGUCUGUAACCAGGCGUGUCAUAUGUAGACACUUAUACCGUGGGAGGUCACUUUAUGUGGGUUUGCAUUGACAAAAAAAGAAAGGUGUCAAACUCCAGUAGCAAAGAUAUAAACUUGUAUCAGUAGGAGAGAUAUUUACAGAACACAGCACAUUCUUUUCAAAGCAUACAUUUUUGGAAUGGCAACAAUGAAGAAUUCCGUCUCCAUGGAGAACCCAUUUAUACGCCUUGUGGGGCUGGCAAAUGUUCCAAAUCUGCCACUAUGAAAUAAUUGGCAGCGAGGAUGGGAAAAAGAAAAACCUCAUCUUAAUGCGAAUGACUUACCAGGAAAUAAAACACAGGACCUCAGAUGAGUGGGCGUUCUCCAUAGCAAACCCUGCCCACUUAACAGUUUUGCCAAGAUAUGGUCCAGAUACAGGUCCUUACCUCUGGUUUGGCUUUCACAGUGAAGCCAAACCAGGACAGCUUGUUACACAGAGUCUGGAAAGCAGCCCUUCAUGUUGGGAUUCUGGAAUUGGGUCACUGACGAGUCAGAUUUCCAUAAGGAAAACAUACUUGGUUCUUUGCAUUAUUGGUAACCAUGUCUGCUGUGCUUUGGAAUAAGGUCCAAGAUUUGCAAAUGACUUUGGAACUCUCUCAAGAAAUCCCCUAUCCAAGAAAUGCAGGAUAAAUAGCCAUGUGGAGAUGAUCAACAUCAGGAGUAUGGUUGUACAACCAGAGCUGAUGAAUAAACUUUUAG
rnacentral:lncRNA from 1 species